CUCGAGAUCAAGGCAGGCAGUAUGGGCAGGCAGUAUGGUCAGGCAGGCGGGUUCAGAGUCAAGGCAGGCAAGUGUCAAAACGAGGACUGCAAAAGAGAGAUAAGAAAUAGCAGGAGCAUGGAAAAGAACACUGGUUGACUUGACAAGAUGAACUGGCAACAGACAAACAGGGAACACUGGAAUAAAUACCCAGGGACUAAUAGGGAAAACGGGUUACACCUGGAGGUGGGUGGAGACAAUCACAAAGACAGGUGAAACAGAUCAGGGCGUGACAAAUAAGUACCCUCUGUGUAACGAUCGUCUGACAAAGGGGACCAAGAUACAGCGUGAGAAUACUUCAAAAUGAGAAGAUCCUGCCAAGGAAAAGACGACUGGGUGGACAUAAAGUGGAAAGGAGGGAAAUAACUCACACCAUGCAGCACGACACCUUCAGCUGAGGGGUCUUUGUAAUGCAGAGUUCAACAAAGCCAACAACUGCUUCAUGUGUGCCACUGAUAAAGAACCUGGAUGUGGCCCAAAGACUGACUGGGUUAGUAACUUUAUUUAACAUGUUUAUAAUCUUUUGACAACAGUGACAGCAUGUAAGACAAUGUAUAAUAUAACACAAUGGAUGGCUAAUUUGUCAUACUGCAUUGAUAUUUGAUAUUUAUAACAUGUUAUGCUUUAUUUUGCAUGCCAACGGUGGUUCCAUGUGCUGUAACUAGGAAUGAAGACGAGUUCAGAGUGAAGAACACAAACUGGAAGAUCUGUCUUUGUUGUUGAAAAUGUAUGCUAUACCCCAUCCACAAGAGGCUCUGAAAUGUACAUCAACCAGGGAUAAAGAGAAAGUUAACACUGUGAAAUAUGUUGUACUUAUUUGAAGUAAAGUGUUGACAUGUUGGAAAAUAUUAAAGGUCUACAAUUUCUGUUUAAUAUGUCAAUAUUACAUUUUUAUUCAUAGAUUUUUCUGGCCAUCAUUACUGUGGUUAAAUGUUCAGUAUAUGUAUUGACCAGCAAACCCAUUGCAGCCUACCUCACUAGCUCACUCUCCAUCCCUGCUUUUGUGAUGACCCUCCCACUCUGUCUGCCGUAUUCUCUCUCUUUGUUCUUGUUUCCUUAUUAGGAUGCCGGUGGGCGGAGUUGGAAGGGUCGUCAGCUACAUGGGAAACACCUGGAUCCGGGUGUGUCCCAGGAUAAAGGCACCUCUUCCACAGUCAUUGGGGAGACUCUCUCCACGCAGACACCUUGUUGUUUUUGGUUGUGCUAGUUGUGGUAUCUAAUAAAUAUAUAUUUUUGAUACUCCUUGUCUCCACGUUGUCUCCCUUUUGUUGCGAACUUUGAGCAGGUUCGUAACACUUUGGACAAUUAAUAACAUGACUCUCGUACUUUGCCAUUUUCAUUUAUGGUUGACCAAGGAGCUAUUGAAAGUUAGAAAAAUGUAUGUAAAAACGUGUGAGAUGAAAAUUGACAAACUAAAGGAUGUGCAAUGUGAAGGCCAACUGAGUGGACAUUCUGAACCUUAUUUGAGUCCAGUAGGUCACAUGACCAAGGAGCUAUUGACAUUUUUAAGUUUGAAAAAUUCAUGUAAAAACGCGAGAGAUGAAA
rnacentral:lncRNA from 1 species